rnacentral:rRNA from 1 species
AGUGAACGCUGGCGGUAGGCCUAACACAUGCAAGUCGAACGGCAGCACAGUAAGAGCUUGCUCUUACGGGUGGCGAGUGGCGGACGGGUGAGGAAUACAUCGGAAUCUACUUUUUCGGGGGGGAUAACGUAGGGAAACUUACGCUAAUACCGCAUACGACCUACGGGUGAAAGCAGGGGAUCUUCGGACCUUGCGCGAUUGAAUGAGCCGAUGUCGGAUUAGCUAGUUGGCAGGGUAAAGGCCCACCAAGGCGACGAUCCGUAGCUGGUCUGAGAGGAUGAUCGGCCACACUGGAACUGAGACACGGUCCAGACUCCUACGGGAGGCAGCAGUGGGGAAUAUUGGGCAAUGGGCGCAAGCCUGAUCCAGCCAUACCGCGUGGGUGAAGAAGGCCUUCGGGUUGUAAAGCCCUUUUGUUGGGAAAGAAAAGCAGCAGGUUAAUACCCCGCUGUUCUGACGGUACCCAAAGAAUAAGCACCGGCUAACUUCGUG